rnacentral:rRNA from 1 species
UACGGGGGGGGCAAGCGUUGUUCGGAAUUACUGGGCGUAAAGGGUGCGUAGGCGGGUAAGUAAGUCCGUGGUGAAAUCUCUGAGCUUAACUCAGAAACUGCCGUGGAUACUAUUUGCCUUGAAUAUUGUGGAGGUGAGCGGAAUAUGUCAUGUAGCGGUGAAAUGCUUAGAUAUGACAUAGAACACCAAUUGCGAAGGCAGCUCACUACACAAUCAUUGACGCUGAGGCACGAAAGCGUGGGGAUCAAACAGG